CCCUUAGAUGUUCUGGGCCGCACGCGUGCUACACUGAGUGGAUCAGCGGGUCAGGUUGCGCGAAAGCGUUUCCUAAUCUUGAAAUCCGCUCGUGAUGGGGAUUGACGGUUGCAAUUUUCUGUCAUGAACGAGGAAUACCUUGUAAGCGCGAGUCAUCAUCCCGCGCUGAAUACGUCCCUGCCCUUUGUACACACCGCCCGUCGCUCCUACCGAUUGAGUGGUCCGGUGAGGCUUUGGGAUCUGAGCGGAAAGAGCGUUUCGCUCGUUCUGCCCGGAAAACUCAGUCGAACCUUAUCAUUUAGAGGAAGGGGAAGUCGUAACA
rnacentral:rRNA from 1 species